CCGUGAGCUUUUUUUACCUUCAGUACGGCCACUUCUUCAGGGAGGAGUAGGGCAUCCAUCAGUUCCUUGAUAGCCACGCUGUGCUUAACUGGUGUGCCAUUUGCUGUGAUGAAUCCUCUUGUCUUCCAGAUUAGUCCGAAGUCAUGUGCCACGCCUAGUGCAUAUAUCGAGUCAGUGUAGAUAUUGGCGCAUCUUCCUUCAGAAAUCUUGCAUGCUGAGGUGAGGGCAUGUAGCUCAGCUUCUUGUGCAGACAUGGAUGGGGGAAGUAGGGAUGCUUUAAGUACUUCAUCCACUGUGGUGACAGCAAAUCCAGUAUGGUAUCUUCCAUGUUCAUCAGCAAAUCUGGAGCCAUCCACAAACAGGGUGAGUUCAGGUUCUUGUAGGGCAGCCUCAUGCACAAUUGGGAAGUGUGUUUCCAGUUUCAUCUGUUCGAAACAAUCAUGAG